UCUUUAUCCUCGAGCAUCCUACUCAAGGACAUAGUCUUCUCAUUGUACUUGUACUGCAUUUCGUCAAGGUUUUCAUUGGUAAGAUCGAUUUCAUUUGCAAGAUUUGCCACAAUACUAUUUCGGCUUUCAGAUGCUUCUUGAACAAUAUCUGAGACUGUCCUCAACCUUCCUUUGUUUCGAAGGUAUUCCCCAAUUGGCCCUCCACAAUUAUAAUCAACUUCCCGUGCAACCCAUCCAUAAAUGUCUGAUCCAGCUUCCAGCUUCUUCAAAUUCCAAUCCUUCUUACCAUGGCGUGCAGUUUCAAACGAUUUCUCAAAUUCACUUGCAUUCAUGAAACCAUUCCAGUCAUUGUUAAAGUCUAUCACAGCCUGAGCAAUCAGCUCACCGUCUAUCAAGAAUAUAUGAAUAUCUAGUGGUUUGUAUUUAGCAAAUUCCUUCAACCAGUGUCCAGAAUCGUGCGAUUUAUUCUUUAUGUUAACAAUUAUGCCCGUCCAGGGCCAAACAUAAAGAUCAUGUUGCUGUAGAGGUUUACUGACAGGUUGGGGUAAAGCCGGGCGCUGGACUUGCUCUGCUUCACUGGCUAGGUCAAUCUCCAAAUACCUGGCCAAUGCCAGGUGGUUUGCCUUCUGUUGUGCACUUCUGUUAGCAGAACCCUUACUCACCCCUGAAGCAUGUUGAAACAACUCCUUAUAUUUGUAAUCUUGUUUCUUCUUCCCAGCACAAAAAGGACAUCUAAGAGCUCCAUUCACAUGUUUAACCUUGUAUUUCCCUGACCUUAAAUCUUCAUAUGGUUUCUGAGAGUACUCAUCUAUCUCAGAGUCACUGAUAUCUGAAUCUUCGUCAGAGCUGUAGUCCAUUUAAGCCUUGCAUACAAAUAGCACAGUCAGUCCAGCUAAAAGAUUGCUUAUAAACAUGAUAGGGAAAAAUAAUUUAGAAAGUAGCAAAGCAAGAACUUCCAUAAAAAGGCUCAUUAACAGUGUAUAAGGGUUGGGUGGGAUGAAUGGUGAAGGGUUCGAACCCUGAGGUACUAAUUUACUAACAUUACUAACAACUAACAUUUGCCUAUAAAAAAAAAAAACAUUUGCCUAUAAAAAAAACAGUGUAUAAUAACACUGCAAAAAGCAAGAAAAAAUGGAGUAAAAUAAUAUCAAUGAGUGCUAAGAAAUUAACAGUCUGUCUUGGCACAUGCAUUGCUAUCACAAUUUGACACCCCCAAUGAGUAUAGAACAAACAACAACAGCAAACAGUCUAGGAAUCCCUCUGUCUAUGCAUAAUAUAUGGAAUAAAUUGCACUUUUUAAAUUUUGGUAUUAUAAUAAUGAUUUUACAACAAAACAAUUGUGUGAUUCUUUUCUUCAAUCUGAGUAUAUAUAUAGCAUCUAAUCUGAGGCUACAGAGAGUUUGAAUUCCCAGUUUUAUUAGUUAAUUCACCAAUUACUGAGUUAUUAAGAGGUUUUCUGGUAAGAUCACAAACCAUAUUUGCCAGAUCUCUUGUUAAUUGGACAUAGAAAUGAUCUCACUUUGUUUACAAACAGGAAAAAAUUCCCAAAUACUCAUCUCCUAAUACAUGCAACAACAACAAAUCAUAGAAAUGAAAAUGAACCCUACAUUCAACAAAUCAGACAUCAAUUUUCAUCAUUUUGAAAGCAGAAAAACCUCAGCACCAUUGUUAUCAGCUGAGAGAAGAAGAAAAUGGGUAGAGAGAGAAGGAACAUGGUCUUACUCUGGUGAGAUGAGAGUGCUUCUUCACAGGGAGAAGAGAGUGAGAAUGAGAGAGAGAGAAAAAGAGAGGAGAGAGAGGAAUAAUUGUGAAAUUAAAAACCCUAGUGUGAGGAAUUAUUGUGAGUAGAGAGGUACAGGGAAUCUACGUGAACCUGAGUAUCGUUAUUGGUUGAAGCUAACGGAAUGUUACACGUAGACACGUUAGGUAGGUAUGUAAGACAAUAAUAAUUGGUUUCAUCAUUAGUGUAACGGAGUGAAAUGAAAUGUACGUGGUGGUGUGUAUGAUUAAUUAAUUACUGGAAAUUGGUGAUUUGCAGAACGUUGGAGUUUUCGAAAUUGGAAAACUUGACUUGACACAAUGCUUACACAAAAAUGUACAUCUUCAUCUCAUGACUAAUUUGGAAAAGAAAUUCACAACAAGAUUAAAUUUGGUAGGUUAUAAAAGGAACUAGUAUUUUAGUCCAACGGGAAAAUAUAUUUUUUAAAAUAAUUAAAAUAUUUUUUAAUAGUUAUAAUAAAUAUAACUUUUUUUGACGUCUAUAAUAAAUAUAACUUAUACUUUAGAUUUGAAACAAAAUUGAAAUUAUACUAUAUUUAUGAUAUAACUUUAUACUAGUAUUUUGAUUCUCAUUCGAGCACUAUUUGGUCUGUUGCAGAUUGCCGUAAGAAUUAGUGCACAAAUUUGAAUCCCAAAAAAUACAUUUAUUGAAAGAAAUAUGCAAUAAGCAGUGACGUCUAUCAAAUACUCGUGGUUAGAGAAGGGAGUAGAAAGAGGCGGGUUAAUUCAUGAGUUGGAGGAAGAGUGGUGGUUGAGGGAGAAUUAAUUUAAAAUGUUAUGGAAAAAAUGUCAUGGUAGCUUUCUGUUAAUUUUUGGAUGGAAGAUAAACGGAAAACAAAAUUUGCAAACAAGAGCUAAUGUUGAGGUGCCAAAAUGAAAUUGAAAAUAAUAUAAGUGGGGGGACCAGAUGUGCAAUUAAGCCAUAAAUAUGUGUGUUAUGUAAAAUGUAUGAUUUUUUUAACGUGGAAUGAAAUGUAAAUCUAUAUGCUAAUAUAGGAUUAUGGAUGUUAAUGGAUACGGAUGGGCAUAUAUCCACCACCCGCUCCAUAGGUAAAAAAUCGUACUCGUACUCGUACUCGCUCCAUACCCACAUAAAUCUCCAUUGAGUGGAUUUUAGACGGAUUUUAAAAGAUCAAUGGAUAUCCAUGGGUAUCCAUGGACAUAUAUGAAUUCAUAUAUAUUUUUUUCAAAUGAAAAUUAUAUUUAAAAUUAAAUUCAAGAUUAGACUCAACUUUCAUGUAUGAAGACAAAUACCUAUAUUUCUCCUCCCUUUUUUAGUUUAAGGGCUUCAUUUUACCAUUAUUAUUGUACAAAUUUACUUCAAAGAUAACCAUAAUCCAAGGCUCAAGCUUAAACUCAUUAGAAAUUAAACUCAAUAUACAUCUCUUACAAAAACCCAAAAAUAUGUUUUUAUUUUAAAUAAAUGUAUUGUACAAGCUAAGAAUAGCGUUGUGGCAGGCUUUGGUGCUCAAUUGGGCGAUGACUCAUCUUCUUUUUUGUAUGAUAACUGGUUAGGGACCGGUAAGCUUUGUAAUCGGGUACCAUUUGUGAAUAUCUUUGGUACAACGUUUACAGUUGCGGAUGUAUGGGGUAAUGGUGAUUGAAACCUUUCAAGAUUGGCUACAAUUCUUCCCCAGUAGAUACGGGGUGAGAUCAUCUCUGUUUUAGUUCCCCUUAUUGCCGAGAAUAGUGAUGACAUGCAUACUCUAUUGGCUCUUCAUACGAAUUUAUUGCAGCGAUUGAUCAACCAUCAAAUGGGUAUUGGAAAGCCAUUUGAAAAGGCCCUGUACCUGAGAAAAUCAAGUUCUUUUUGUGGCUUAUAGCCAAGGAAGCCCUCCCUACAAAUUCAAAGCGACAUAAUAGCCACUUGAGUGGGAAUGCUUCGUGUUCUAGGUGUCCUGCAGACGUUGAGGAUUGUGAUAGUGUCUUUCGCUAUUGCCUGCACUCUCAUCAGUUGUAGGCGCAUUUUGGCUUGAGUCUACCUCAGUUGAGCAUGCAUGUUCCUUUCCAUUCAUGGUUCCACUCUACUAUUUCUUGUUAGAAUGAUCUUCUUCUGAUUGUAGCUAUGUUCUUCGACAAAUUAUUAUUAACGUGUGCAGCUUGAAACAAGGGCUGAAUGCUCAUGUACCAGGUUCUUUGGACUACCAACGAUUCUACUCCCUCCCUCCCUAGCGGCAACAGUGGGUGCAUCCACCAUGAUCGUCAAUGUGGAUGGGAGCUGGGUUUCGUCACUGCAACGGAUGGGGUGUGUUGUUGUGAUUCGUGAUGUGAGUGGAAGAUGGGUUUGAAGUGUGAGCACGAGUUUUGGCUACAGCAGUGCAUGCGUUGCAGAUGUUUUGCCUCUUGAAUUGGGGCUUCAGCAAGCUUGGGAUCUUGGUUAUCAAGAGAUAACUUGCUUUUCGGAUUGCUCAAAUGUGGUGGACGUAUUCCGCUCCGAGGUUGAUGUUACCUGAUAUUGGGCGAAGGAACCGAUCCUGCGAGUUAGGCGCAUGCUCACUUGGAGCUGGACCGUCAAGAUUGAACUUGUUCCCAAGCAUAGGAAUAAUGCAACAGACUACAUGGCAAAGCAAGCUUCACAUGAGCGAUCCCCCCUACGUGUUUGGCACACUUCGCCCCUGCCAUUGUUGAGCUCCUUUGCAAGGAUGUUCUCCGUCAGUUAGUUUGUCUUUUAGCCUUCCUCUUGUAACCAAAAAAGUAAAUCUCUCUAAAAAAAUAAAAAAACGAUUAUUCGUUCACUAAUAAGCAGGAUUUUUAUGAGGAGGAUGGUUUUAAAAAGUCAAAUAAAUUUAGAUGUAAAGAAUUAAAAAUAACGUAUAUUUAUAAAAUAGGUUGGUAGAUCUGAAGUUGGAGAAGACAAUUGAUCCAUAUAUGUGUAUACAAGGGUAAGUGCUUUGAUUGUGAAUCCAAAAUUGAGUGCUCGUAGAUGAUGAAAGCCGAGAUGGGGUAGAUGACCCGACAAAAAGAGACGAGAGAUGAGAAAAUAAACUCAAGGUAUUUUUGUCACAGUAAAAUAUUUUAAUUGGGUCAUGUUUCUGUUCCACAUUUUUAACAGAAUCAAAGUGUUAUUUUCCAAUAGUCUUUUGUCAUGUUUCAUUUCAUCUUAAAAACAUGACAAACACGUAACGAAACUCAUAUACCUCGUUCUGUUCCCUUCAGGUCUUCCCAUCUGUCUAACAAACGCCGCCUCAAUCUCUCUAGCGAAUCAAAGUGCUACUUUAAUAUUGAAUUAUGGUCCCCUUUUUUUCCAAUUAGCUUUGAUUGCUUUUCUCUAGAAUUUGUCAGUGUAGUUCUUCAUUCCACUUGAUGUUCUCGUGUCUUUCUAAUUCUGGGCCUUCUGGCAGAGAUGCCAGUUCGUUCCCAUGGCCGUUGGCCGUUGCAUCCUUGUAUUCCCCCUUCAAGGGGUUGGGUUUCAACCCAGGAUCUAUAAAACCUGAACCAUUGACCAAAAAGAGGAACCUCAAGCACCACCCUAUAAAUACCAUCCCCAACCACAUGCUGUUGGCAAACCAUCUAGCCCAAACCUGCUGUUGGUUUCAUGUUUUAAACCGACCAAACCUCCAUCACUCUAUCCCUCACCACAUGACAAGCCUCAGUAGAAUUUCUCAGAGACGAAGACGAGAAAAGCUCCUGAAAAAACCUCUCCUGAAAAAACCUCACCAUUUUCUCUACUAUAUCCUCUUCCUUCUCAUGCACAUAGCCAUGGUCAUUUUAUAUCUCAUCCACCCGAUUUCGCUCCUUUCAAUCCUUAUUUUAAUCAUUAUUAUAAGAAUCAAAUAACUAAAUAUAUUAAUGUAAUUGUUAGCAUUAAACUUAUCCUUAAUUUAUAUUCUUUCAAAAUUACCUCUAACCUCUUUUCAAAAAAAAAAAAUUACCUCUAACCCAGUUUUUUAAUUUCUUUCCAUCAUUACUGAGAGACUAAUAAAAUAAGGGUAUGUUUAUAAUAAAAAAAAAUUAAUGCAGUACAAACUUUAAGAUAGUUUUCAUAAAAAUGAUCAAGUUAUGUCUCAAAUUUAGUUCUACUAAUAAGGACGGAAGGGGGUAUAAGAUAAGCAAUAGGCGAAGUUUCAUAAAAAUGAUCAAGUUAUGUCUCAAAUUUAGUUCUACUAAUAAGGACGGAAGGGGGUAUAAGAUAAGCAAUAGGCGAAGUUUUUGUUAAUUAUAUGAUGAGUUGCAUCCAUCGACAUACAAUAAUCGGAGCGAACCUACACAGAACUGGUACCUCAAUAGUAUUAAGUGAAAUUUUAGAGGUGAAAUUAUAAAUUACAGAUGUUCAACGCUACCAUGAUCAGAAUUGUAGACAUGUUUCAUAUACAAGCCUAACUUUCAUAUAAUGCAUAUCCUAACUUCCAUUUACCUAUUGAAGAUCUCCCGCUGCCAAUCACCAAGAUAGAACUGAUACAAGCCCGCCAAAAAAGGUUCUCCUUUCCAUCUUCCCAUUAAGAUCUUAUAUAUUUCUACCCUGCAAAGCCUCGAGAUAAAACAUUCAUUCAGAUUUAUUGAGGAAUAAAACUCAACUGAAAUAUGUCUAUGAUACAGUUUUAGAAAUCAAAAUAUAAGUUUUCUUUUCUCUGUCAAAAAAAAAAAUUGUACAUAUGCUAUCAGUCAUCACCAUUUUAUUUCCAUUUUUUGCAACUAAAAAUGAUUCAUAGAAGAGAUACUCGAAAUACCCAUCUUCUCACAAACCAAAAACCAAAAACAGAGAGCAACCAAUAUAUGUAGGAAUGGUCAUGAAAACUUGAAUUAAGGAACUGAUCAACUAAUAGUUCAUAAACAAAUUGCAGAAUAGAUUGAUGCAUUGGUUUAACAACUCUAAUGGGAUAUUGAAUAAUUAAGAAAAACUCAUACUGGAUAUUAGCAGUUUUCAAUAUGAACCAAAUUUAUUUAUUACUGCACCUGAGAAGAGUGUAAAAGUUGUUACAUGGGCAUAUGGAUGCAAUCAAGUUCUUGUUCUUUCUUUGUUUCAAAAUUAUAUUUCAUUCAGUGAAGCCACUACAGAAUACCAGUGCAUACUCAUUAAUCAGCCCUUCAAAGCACUACUAAAAAACAUCUCUACUGAAAGUAAGAAACAAUAACCUCUUGUCUACUCUUGCGCUUAAGUGGCCUGAUUUGUUUCACAAUGUAACUGAUAACCUCUUUCAAUGUUGCCUUCCUUUGUUCCUUGUAGUUCCACAGCUCGAAAACUGUAUAUCGACCACUUGGAUUGUAAUCAUUCAAUUCUUUCAAAGCUGUUAUUACGGCUGAAUAUAUCUCAUCUCCCCAUUCCUGCUUCAGCUUCCGUAAUUUAUCAUCUUCUUCAUCUACAAUUUCCUGUAUAAAUGCAACAUCAUUACAUGUGUUCACUAUUAUACUAUUCCUAUGCUCUAGAAGUAUAAAUGAAAGUAGUAAGAUAAGGAGCUAAAGGUAGUCUGACAAUGUAAAGCAGGAACUUUACAAAUUUCAAGCCAUUCUUGUAACUUGAAAACAAAAAACCGACAACAAAAACCUCAGUAUUUGGACAAGAAAGAAGAUAAAGAAAAUUUCUGACAUAUGUGAAAAGAACAUAUAGAAGUAACACUAGGUAAACCAAACCUAUUGAGGCAUAACUACAUCAAGAACACAAAAAGGAUGACAUGCCUCGGGCUUAUCAUCAGCGUUGAUCACUUUAAAUGGAUGCCAAGCUGAAUUCUUCAAAUGCUCCUGCCACAAAGAGCAAAGCUCAACACCCUUUGUCCCAGCUUCUUCAAGAGGAAAUCUCUUCUUGCAGCUAUUCACAAAAACCUUCUGAUCAAGCUCUCCCAUUCUCUUCAGCCCAAUAUCAGUUCUAGGACUAUUCAGCAUCUCGUUUAACCCCUAAAACAUGACAAAUUAAGAAGAGGAUCAACUUUACUCUCCACAAUCUACUCAUGCACAAUAACAUAAUAUCAAAAUUCUAAUGUGCUAGAAUAAAAGGAGAAGAGAAUCUUUGUGUAAAUAUGUUUACAUCUUAACAUGAAGAGAUGUAUGCACAGAAGCAGUUACUUGUUAGAUGGUUAUCUUCAAAUAUCCAUGAACAGAAACGUUAAAGGAGAGCUACUUAGUGAAGUGACAUUCUUGCUUAUAGAAAAGAAAUAUCUGCAAGAAAGUAAAUGAGAUCCUACUUCUAUUAAUACUUUACGAGCUUCCUGUAGUUCAUCAUUGCUUUGGCGCUCCUUGACAAAGAGCUGUUGAUUCAUGGCCUCCAUACUCUCCAGAUUUUCUUUUUUGUCUUCCAAUUCAUCAUUCAUUUCUUUCAUCUUAUGCUGGACAGCUGCAUCAUCUUCAUCUGCAUGAUAUUUCAAAACUUGUAAUUUCCCUUUUAGCUCUUGAAUUUCCAUCUCCAAUUUCUGUUUGGCAUCUAGCUCUUUUUCCAGCUGAAGGAUCUUGUUCAAGGCCUCCUCCUUCUCUCUCUGAAAAUUAUGAAAUCCACAUCAGCAGAAGACAUUCACAAUGUAUAAUAAUUAAGUGAUAAACAACAUAUGCUACUGUCUUUUCAUAACCAAGACACCAAAUAGAAGGAAAACCUGUUGCUCCGCAACAAGCCUAAAGACAUUCUCAUCAGCUAUCUUCUGCUCCUUUGAAGCCAACAAGAGGGAUUCAUUCCUCAAAUCUUUCUACAACAACAAAGAGAUAAUAUUAGAGUUUUGCAAAUUUCACACCAUACGUUCCAAUGAUUUCAAAGCCUAAAUGCAUAGCAUGACAAGGAUGGAAAGCGAGGUACAAUAUAGUUCAUCUUCUGGGGCUGUUUAUGGAAUGAGAAACAGAAGAGCUAUUGGCUCUUUAGAGUUUAAUGUUUCAUAUAAGAAAUGAAUAAUAUCAAAUCCAUUUUACAAAUUACUAACAUAAAUCACGUGGUUUAAAUUAAAACCAGUUUAAUGAAUUGAUAUUUCCCGUAAACAGCCAAACGGGAGCAAUAAAUUUGGCUAUAGGAUCAAAAUAAAAUGGUGAAAGGCCCAAUGCAAGGAGGAAUUGAUUUUAAAUUUGAAAGUGAGUCAAUAGGAUCAAAAUAAAAUACUUGGAUAUAUCAAUAACAACAAAUAAUACAAUUAGUAGCAGACUGAAGAUAAAAACGGGCAAAAAAGUUUAGCAGAAACAGUUAAAGAUAAGCAAGACCAAUGGUCAAAAAAAUAUUAAAAAGAGAAUAUACUAACAGCUAAAGAAUGUAAUAUACAUUACCUUCUUCUUUUCCUCUUCAAGUUUCUGCCUCUCCUGAUCAGUUAGUACCUCACGUUUGUUUAGAGCCCUGCUCCAGGAAUCAAGCUUCCGCCUUUUUUUCUCCAACUCAGUACUAAACUUUUCUUGUUCUUCCAAGAUCCUUCGUACCUCGUUACGCGUCUCGCGCUGCGUAAUCCUUGAUUCUGACAGAAAUGAAACAAUUUUGUUGUAUCACCACCUAUAUUUGUGUUCUGCUUUCAUAAAUAUAUGAAUAGUAAAGCAAACAAAGCUAAAUUUGAAACACAUGGAUAUUAUACAUGCAAGAAGGAAAAAUUAAAUUCUAACAGAGUAUAUUUACCUUCAAGAAAUUUAUUGUGUAGCUCGUCUUUAGCCUCGUAUACUUGUACUGCAUUUCGUCGAGGUUUUCAUUUUUAAUAUCAAUUUCAUUAGCUAGAUUUGCCACAAUGUUAUUUUUGCUUUGAGAUGCUUCAUGAACAAUAUCCGAAAUUGCCCUCAACCUUCCUUUGUAGCGGAGGUAUUCCCCUAUUGGCCCUUCACAAUUAUAAUCAUCUUCCCGUGCAACCCAUCCAUAAAUGUUUGAGCCAGCCUGCAACUUCCUUGAAUUCCAAUCCUUUUUACCAUGAUGUGCAGUUUCAAACAUUUUCUCAAAUUCACUAGCAUUCAUGAAACCAUUCCAAUCAUUAUUAAAAUCUACCACAGCCUGAGUAUCAAAUAUAUGAAUAUCAAGUGGUCUGUACUUGGCAAAUUCCUCCAACAAGUAUCCAGAAUCAUGCAAUUUACUCUUUAUAUUAAUAAUUAUCCCUGUCCAAGGCCAAACAUAAAGAUCAUCUUGCUGUAGAGGUUGAUUGACAGUUUGGGCUAAAAUUGGAGGCUGGAUUUGCUCAGAUUCAGUGGCUAGAACAGUCUCCAAAUACUUGGCCAGAGCAAGGUGGUUUGCCUUUUGUCUUGCACUUCUGUUGGCAGAACCCUUACCCACUCCAGAUGCAUGUUGCAACAAGUCCUUAUAUUUGUAAUCUUGUUUCUUCUUCCCAGCACAAUAAGGACAUCUAACAGUGCCAUUCAGAUUUUUAACCUUGUAUUUACCCGCCCUUAAAUCUUCAUAUGGCUUCUGAGAGUAGUCACUAAUCUCAGAUUCGCUGAUAUCUGACUCUUCAUCAGAGCUGUACUCCAUUAAAGCUUUC
rnacentral:lncRNA from 1 species